rnacentral:tRNA from 1 species
GCGGUGGUAGCAUAGUGGUUAAGGAGCUGGGCUAGCACGCAGUAGCCUAAAAAGUUGUGAGUUCAAUUCCCAGCCAUUGUG